rnacentral:misc_RNA from 1 species
AACUUUUGGCAAUGGAUCACUUGGCUCUCGCAUCGAUGAAGAACACAGCGAAAUGUGAUAAGUAAUGUGAGUUGCAGAAUCCAGUGAAUCAUCGAAUCUUUGAACGCAUCUUGCGCUCCUUGGCAUUCCGAGGAGCAGGCCUGUGUGAGUGUCAUUAAACUAUCAAAAAACUCUUUGUCGAGGUGUUUUGGACUUUGGGAGCACUGUGCUGGUCUCUGUUUAAGCCAGCGCUCCUCAACAGCAUUCGCUUUGAGACCAUCAGUGUGAUAAUUUGUUUGCACUGGCUUCUCUUUUUUCACUGCCCCUUGGACCUCAAAUCAGGUAGGACUCCCCGCUGAACAUAAGCAUAUCACUAUGCGUAGGCU